rnacentral:rRNA from 1 species
GAUGAACGCUGGCGGCGUGCCUAAUACAUGCAAGUCGAGCGAACGGACGAGAAGCUUGCUUCUCUGAUGUUAGCGGCGGACGGGUGAGUAACACGUGUAUAACCUACCUAUAAUACUGGGAAAAUCUCGGGAAACCGGCUCUAAUCCCGUAUAAUCUUUUGCACCGCAUUGUUCAAUAGUAAAAGACGGCCUUGCUGGCACUUCUCGCUGCAUCCGGGCUGCAUGAGCUAGUUGGUAGGGUAACGGCCUUUCAAGGCUACGAUGCAUAGCCGACCUGAGAGAGUGAUCGGCCACACUGGAACUGAGACGCGGUCCAGACUACUACGGGAGGCAGCAGUAGGGAAUCUUCCGCAAUGGGCGGAAGCCUGACGGAGCAAGGCCGCGUGAGUGAUGAAAGUCUUCGGAUCGUAAAACUCUGUUAUUAGGGAAGAACAGAUGUGUAAGGAACUGUGCACAGCUUGACGGUACCUAAUCAGAAAGCAACGGCUAACUACGUG